UUGUUGGUAAGGUAAAAGCUUACCAAGGCUUCGAUCAGUAGCUGGUCUGAGAGGACGGCCAGCCACACUGGGGCUGAGACACGGCCCAGACUCCUACGGGAGGCAGCAGUGGGGAAUUUUGGACAAUGGGGGCAACCCUGAUCCAGCCAUGCCGCGUGAGUGAAGAAGGCYUUCGGGUUGUAAAGCUCUUUCAGCCGGAACGAAACGGUUACGGUUAAUACCCGUGACUACUGACGGUACCGGAAGAAGAAGCACCGGCUAACUACGUGCCAGCAGCCGCGGUAAUACGUAGGGUGCAAGCGUUAAUCGGAAUUACUGGGCGUAAAGCGUGCGCAGGUGGUUUUGUAAGUCAGAUGUGAAAUCCCCGGGCUUAACCUGGGAACUGCGUUUGAAACUACAAGGCUAGAGUGUGGCAGAGGGGGGGUGGAAUUCCGCGUGUAGCAGUGAAAUGCGUAGAUAUGUGGAGGAACACCGAUGGCGAAGGCAGCCCCCUGGGUCAACACUGACGCUCAGGCACGAAAGCAUGGGGAGCAAACAGGAUUAGAUACCCUGGUAGUCCAUGCCCUAAACGAUGUCAACUAGUUGUCGGGCCUUAACGGGCUUGGUAACGUAGCUAACGCGUGAAGUUGACCGCCUGGGGAGUACGAUCGCAAGAUUAAAACUCAAAGGAAUUGACGGGGACCCGCGCAAGCGGUGGAUUAUGUGGAUUAAUUCGAUGCAACGCGAAAAACCUUACCUACCCUUGACAUGUAUCGAAGCCCGCAGAGAAGCGGGUGUGCCCGAAAGGGAACGAUAACACAGGUGCUGCAUGGCUGUCGUCAGCUCGUGUCGUGAGAUGUUGGGUUAAGUCCCGCAACGAGCGCAACCCUUGUCAUUAAUUGCCAUCAUUUAGUUGGGCACUUUAAUGAGACUGCCGG
rnacentral:rRNA from 1 species